GUGGGGACUGUGGCCCUGUCGCCGGUCACGGUUGUGCUGGAGAAACGUGUGUGUGGGCUGACUGGGGCCCACGUUGGCCAUGUUUCGGGAAAGGCUGCGUCGCCUGUGGACGGUGGACCUGUGUGUCCUGACCUUUCCACAGCUGACACGACGCCCUUGGGGGCGGCUCCGAGGGGCUCGUCUCUCUUUCUCUCUAGUCUCUGUGGACACUUGACACCAGCUGUGUGACCUUGGGCAAGUUACUUAUUGUUCACAGUGUUCAUAAAUAAAACGGGGACCUGCCAUCAUGUCGUGGUGUGUUGUGAGGACUAAGAGACCCUGUAGUUGGCAGAGGGCCUGGCACCUAGUGCCCGUCGUGGUCGUCCACCUCCAAGCUGGUCAAGCGGGGAUGUGUGUGCAGCACAGGGAAAGUGCUCGAGUUCCAGGAGCAGUGUCCUGCAGGACGCAGGCCCCCGUGGUGGCUACUGAUGCCGUGGCUGUGCUGUGACUCCCGGGGGAGGAGUAGGGGGGGCUGCUGCUGCCCUCUUGCCAUGGCCCCCGUUACUGACUGUGGCAGGGAAUGCCAUGCGGCCCUGGUCUGCUUGGAGGACACAUGGAGACGGCAGGGUGCGCCCGUGUGAGGGCUGGGGGUCUGGUCGUCCCACGGCCUGCCUAUGCAGGAAGCCUUGUUCGCACUUUUGGGUUCAGUGUGUGCUUUGUGGGUGGAGGUGAUGGCACGUUCGGCAGCGUUGGGCAGGCGGGCAGCAGGUACGGUGGGGCUGGUGGCGGAGUUUUCCCUUGGGGCCCACUGGGCUCGGGGUCAUCCUGACGCCGAAGAGGAUUGUGCCAAGGGGUUUCAGGUCUGGAAAAAGAAAAGAGUGAAGACAGGACUUCCUGACAGAUUCAGAGAUUUUAGACUCUGGUCUCGAUUUGAAACCAAUGGGCUGUCCUGUCGCGUGUCCAUGUCGUCCUGUCCCCAUCCCAGAGGAGAGGCAGCUGAACUUAACAAGCUGUUAAACUGCCCCAGUGAUGAGACGUGUGCUUGGGACGUGGGCUCCUAGAGGAGCGGCAGUGUCCCGGGGAUGGGCUGGCACUUUGUGACAUAGAGUGGUCCCCAGCUGGGCCUGGUUAGUGUGUCCUGACGUCCAUAUGGGCACUUGGCUUUGCGGCCAGUCGCUGUGGCGCCCUGGGUGUCUGGACAGGUAGCUGGGUUUGGCAGCUGGCUGAAGCCUGCCGCCCCGUUGCUGGUUAACAGGUAAUGGUGGUGCUGUCUUUCCUCCCCAGGGUGCCAGGCCCCGGGGAUAGUCAGUGCUCUGCUCGCAAGACCUCACUCUGUCAAGGAGACACUGAUUGACCCUGUUGGGUGACACCGACGUCAUGAUGUCCCCUUCCAUGCCUUGAUUGUGUUUUGAUGACUGCCCUCACUUUUUGGGUUUCCCUGAGCUCCCUACCUUUCUCCUUUCUCCCCAGGCGAAUGGACAGGAAGCUUGGAGUUGGGGCAGCUGUCCUGGGAGGGGGUGGGUGGCCCAAGGCCGGCAGGUAGGUAAAGGGGAAGCAAAAGUCCUGGGUUUUGGUCACUUUGGUCAGAGGACUUAUCUUAUUGUGGCCUCUGCUCCCAGCCAUAAAACAACUGUUUGGGAUGGAAUAUCACUCCUUAUCCUGUUCCUUUUAUUUUUGUUAUUUUAAUAAAUCCAAAUGCCAGUUUUUAAAUUUACAGGAAAACACCAGAGGCUGAAAUUCUCACUCACAGGGUUCAGGGCAACCUCUGGCCUCAGAUGUCUGCAGGAAAGUACGGGGUGGAUAAAUGCACCCGUUCCCAGAUUGGGGUGGUCUCUCCAGUUCCAGCAGACUCUGGGAACGGGCUGCGUGUACCUUGAGCCCUACCUGGGAGUCGCUGUGUAUCUUUAAACUGAGUCUCUGCAAACUAGGAACCCGGAUGGCAUCAGAAACUUGGCGCAGACUGUGUGUUUUUCCAACUCGCAGAGGAAUCCAAAGCCCCAGUGAUUAGGAGAAAUGAAAAAUGCUACAAGAUGCAUAAGACUUUGAGCAUCUCUGCUUUGAUUUUUUCCCUCAAAAUUAACUUUUACUUUUGGCAUAGCAUACCCAGAAGAGGCUGUCACUGCUGGGUCCCCAGAUUAGUGUUAUCAGCUUUUAGAUCUUUCAAAGGAUCAACUUUUAGCUUUGUGGAUUCUUUGUCUUGUGAGUUAAAAUAUUCCGGCCACUUUUCAUGAGCAUUUGCAGUCUGCCAGUCUCUGCUCGGGCUUGAAAUGGUGCAGUGAUGGAGAGAGACUGGCUCCCCUCUUUAAGAACUGAGUCUUUAAUGGGUAUUGGCUUGGACUGUUGCCCCUCAUUGAAUUUGAAAACAUUGUUUAUUUAACGUCUGUUCGGUUUUCCUGGAAUCUUUGUUUGGUCUGUUUCCGUCCUGCACUAGUGAGUCGCUUGUGAAUGCUGUGCCAUUCACCGCCUGGUGUCUCAUUUAUGAGACUAUUGAAGGGCCCUGCCCGUCUCUGUGUGCGGGUGGUGAAGGGCACGAGGGGCACAUGGUGACUGUGAGAGUGAGCGGGCCAGCAGAACUGGAUGAGAGAAGAGCUCAGACGUCGUACCAGGAACUGGGGAGACAGUUGUCCGCAGAAUCGGACGGGAUUUCCUACAGGACUGGAGCGUUGAUGACAGCUCGUUCUUCCUGGCACUCCUGGCAAUGCUACAAUGAUAGCAUGUGUGACUGCAUGAUGUGUGUGACGAUGGCCUGAAGAGCAGUCUUUGGUGUGCACAGUGGUUGGAGAUGGCAGUUUUGUUCCAGUGGAACAGUGGACAAUGCUGAGUGGGAAGACUGUCUAAAGGGGUCGGCUGCUCAGAGGACACCAGUGGUUCCCACUGGUUCCCGCUACUUGGUUCUGUGCCAUCGUUCACCCAGCAUAUGGCUGUGGCACUAGGAGGUACCUAGAAUACCCCGCGUUUUGUCUAGCGCUACAAGGGCUCGUCCUCCCCGCUGACCGGGGUGGGGUGUCAGCACUUGCAGGUGUUCUGAGGCUCACCUGUGCUUCAGACGCUCAAAGGGAUCACCUGCCUGGAAUCACUGUGCCCAGGUGCCCAAUGCCUGUUCUUCUCCAGAUGGCUCCAUGCCCCUCAGGUCUGACCUGAGCUUUUCUGUGGCCGAGAAGGAGAAGCCAGGCUAACGGAAGUGGAGAGCGUGAGUCUGAUGUUGGGCCAGCGCACCAGCCCUGCCUCGGCUUCUCACACCCAGGGCUGGGGACUGGCUGUUGUUUUGGUUUGAUUCUUUGUUUCUUUUGAGACCUGGCUGCCAGAGGAGGGGCUCCAAAGCUUGUGCUGUCCCUGUGUCCCUCUGUUUGUUCCUGCAGUCACCCCCCCCAGGCAAAUGCUGUGGCGCCUGCACGCUCCAGCAGCGCACUUGCAGACACUGGCCAGGACCCUGGACUUGCUGUGGUCCGGCCUCUGGGUGAGGGAGCAUCAGUGGUAGGGUGUCUGCCAGCCUGAGCCUUCCUUCCAGCUGGGAGGUAGCACAGGGGCACGGGACAGGCGUGGAGCCAGGCUGGGGCACCGUUCUUUGCCCUGGGGCUGGAGGCCUUCUCUCAGAGCUGUUCUAAGGCCAAGUUGUCACCAGUGAGGGAGGCUGCUGGCCACGGUGUGCCCAUUUACCCGGUAGUUAAGUGCACAGCCCCUGCCGUGUGCCAGCUGCAUCCUGGGCCCUGGGCCUGGGCAGCAUGUGGUCCUUCCUGGGGGCUCAGUGUUUGGGUCUGGCCCUGAGCUUGGCACUGGCGGGACGUGAGCUGGGUCCGACUCACAAGAACCUGUGGACAGCCAGUUCCCACACACUGCCAGGGAGCCAGUAGCGUCAUACUCCUUCCAGGUGAAUCCACACCUGGUCCGUGGUCCAUCUGGUCCGAGGGAGGUGAAGGCGUGCAGGCGCUCUGGAAAGCCGGGAUCAUCCUGCCACAGCAGAAGGGCCUUCUCUCCUUUUCUAGAACUUCCUAGGGACAGCACCUCUGCCAGCCCGAGCUUUCCUUCCAGUAACAUGGCCCCAAGGAGAGGUCGACAAUCCCCCGGUUUCACGUACAGGCAGCCUCCUGCAGGAGCUCCACAUGGGGGAUGUGUUCCUCUGCCAGGUGCAGACCUGCAUGCUUCUUCCUAUGUGGGAGCCAUGUGGACCCGUGGGGCUUCAGGUUGGAGCCCGGAAGCCACUUCAGCUGUUGGGAGCCGUGGUUCUGACCCAGGGAGGAGCUGCU